rnacentral:snRNA from 1 species
GUGCUCAUUUCAGCAGCACAUUUACUAAAAUUGGAAUGAUACAGAGAAGAUUAGCAUGGCCCCUGUGCAAAGAUGACAUGCUAAUUUGUGAAGCAUUCCAUAUUUUU